rnacentral:rRNA from 1 species
UACGUAGGGGCAAGCGUUGUCCGGAUUUAUUGGGCGUAAAGAGCGUGUAGGCGGUUUGGUAGGUCCGUUGUGAAAACUCGAGGCUCAACCUCGAGACGCCGAUGGAAACCAUCUGACUAGAGUCCGGAAGAGGAGAGUGGAAUUCCUGGUGUAGCGGUGAAAUGCGCAGAUAUCAGGAAGAACACCCGUGGCUAAGGCGGCUCUCUAGUACGGUACUGACGCUGAGACGCGAAAGCGUGGGGAGCGAACAGG